rnacentral:rRNA from 1 species
UACGUAGGUCGCAAGCGUUGUCCGGAUUUACUGGGCGUAAAGAGCGCGCAGGCGGUCGAUCAAGUCGAGUGUGAAAGCCCCCGGCUCAACUGGGGAGGGUCAUUCGAUACUGAUCGACUCGAAGGCAGGAGAGGGUAGUGGAAUUCCCGGUGUAGUGGUGAAAUGCGUAGAUAUCGGGAGGAACACCAGUGGCGAAGGCGACUACCUGGCCUGUUCUUGACGCUGAGGCGCGAAAGCUAGGGGAGCAAACGGG